rnacentral:rRNA from 1 species
UACGGGGGGGGUAAGCGUUGUUCGGAAUUACUGGGCGUAAAGGGCUCGUAGGCGGCCAACUAAGUCAGACGUGAAAUCCCUCAGCUUAACUGGGGAACUGCGUCUGAUACUGGAUGGCUUGGAUUCGGGAGAGGAAUGCGGAAUUCCAGGUGUAGCGGUGAAAUGCGUAGAUAUCUGGAGGAACACCGGUGGCGAAGGCGGCAUUCUGGACCGAUAUUGACGCUGAGACGCGAAAGCGUGGGGAGCAAACAGG